UCUAAAUUUUUUCCAAAACUUGCGCAGUUUGGUUCGGAAAACGCAGUGGCGUUCGCGUUUGUUUUGGAAUUCUAAUUAAAUCGCGUUAAUUUUCGGGUUAAUUAUUCAAAUUAUUCGAAUUUUCGAUAAAUCGAUCGCGUGUGAUGACUUUCGGUACUUUGUUUUCGUAUAAUUCGCGAGAUAUUCGUUGUAGGAUUCGUGAAAUAGAACAGUGAAGUGAACUUGUGUAACAUGGCGGAGCAGCUUAGAUCAUGAUUGUUUACAUAGAAGUAUUGGAAUUGGAUUCGAUUUCGACGUUGGAUAAUUCUGCAAUUCGCAUUUAGUUCACACUGAAUUGAGUGAGCCUGUUGUAUCAGAAUUGAAUACUUUGAUGAUAUCAGUCGAAUUGAGGGGUUCGUGAUUUGGAUAGAAGCUGAAUUGUGCAAGGUGGACGUUGACUUUUCGUUCAGAAGAAAUCGUGAAGUAGCAGGCUGUUCCGAUAUUGAUUUUUCACGAACUUGAUUUUUCUGAUGUUUGCAAAAUUUUGUUGGCAAACGAUUUUCCAAAGAAUUGACUGCAUGAUUUUGUUGCGCUGCGCUGUGGGGAUUUCCUAACGUCGAUAUCGUCGGUGUACGUUUGAGAUGGUUUAUUUUCUAUUCUCAGUAUUCAAGGUUAAUCCGUGGAGAAGUUUUUGAUCGUGGGUUUUUAUUGGAAGAUUUGGAUUGUUUGUCGAGAAGCUGUUUUCUGUAAAAGG